CCCUCUGGUUCCACUCUGAUGGUGCCAGAGGCGGGGUUUGCCCAGGAAUGGGUAUUUAUUAAAACUCCCACCUCUGCUUAUAAGUCCACUUCCCUGUGUAUUCAGGGAUCACAGGGGUGUUUAUGCUCCCUGCUUUCCCUGGUCUGAUUUAUGGGUUUAUUGUAUUCCCUCCAUUGUGUGGCUGCCCGGCUCCGGGCACCUCGGGGCAGGCAGCAGUCCUGGGAGGUUUUCCCUUUCUCCCUGAGUGUUGGCUGGUCCAUCCCUCAGCCAUUUGCAGGGACUUGUAUGAGGAAGGACCAUGGCAGUGUCACACUCCACCUGGGACAGUGGAAGGGAGUUGGAACGAGAUAGGAUUUAGGAUUUAAGGUCUCUUCCAACCCAAACCAUUCUGGGAUCCUGGGAUUCUCUGAUCCUGUGAUCCAGCCCCGAAGCACUGAAGGCUGCACCCAGACACAAAAGCUCAUCUGUGAGGAUGAAGGAGGGAGCUUGGAGCACCCAGUGUACCAAAGAGAUGCAUCAGACCUGCUCCCAGCUGCAGGAGAAGGAAGGAGUGCUGAGAGUUCCCUCCCCACAAGUGCAGAGGUAAGAGGGGACAGAGGUAAGAGGAUCUCAAAACCUCCAGAAACGUGUCCCAGAUCCCCCUGUCAUCAGGUCUGUAGCUAACUGGGAGGAACGUUUUGAGGAUGAUACUCCCACCCACCAUCCCUGCUGGAGGGACUGCAGGGGCCGUUCUGGAAGUUCUGUUCUGACAUGGGGUGUUUUCAAUAUCAUCUUUUUUUCCUGGGGAACAUGUGAAUGUCAGAGGAAUCUCUGUUUGUUGUACCCUGGAAGCUGACAGUUCUGCUCUCCCCUUUCCAAGCUCAGCCUGUAUCACUCCUCAAUGUGUUUGCCAGUCCAGCCUCAGCACCUCCUGCACCAGUAGCAUAUUUGGGGAAAUUCUCUGAGAGAGGAGUGAGUGUCUAUGGUAGUGCUGAUUCAAGGGGAAAGUCCAUACUUUCUGUGAGACAAUUUCUAGGCACCAAGAAAACAGGGGAGCAAGUCCAGGCUGUGGACUCUCCAUCCCUGGCAUUGUCCAAGGCCAGGUUGGAUGGGGUUGGAACCACCUGGGAUAAUGGAAGAUGUCCCUCCCCAUGGCAGGGGGUGGGACAAGAUGGUGUCUUAAGAUCCUUUCCAACCUAAACUAUUCCAUGAUUUUAUGAUUUCCAGUUAGUCCCAAAGGUGUCCACAUAGGAAUGUGAGUUUGACCCAAAGCCGUGGCAGGAGCUGAGGAAGCAGCAGGAUCAGUUCCUUGUAGGAUUGUAUCCCUGUUGGCUUUCAACCCACCCUAAACCCCAGGCAUGGAGACCCUGUUAUCAGUUGUGCUGGUGCCUCCAGCUUAAAAUUAGGGGUUUCAAUUAUUUUUAUUUUUUAGUUUUAGUCCCCCCAAACCCUUCCACGAGUUCCUUCUAGGGGGAAAUCCAGGAAAAGCAUGUUUGCCUUUGCUGCGAUGUGAGCAACCCCAUCACCCCAGAAAGUGUAGGGGGCGCUGGGGGGAAACCAAAUGCCAAAACCUCUCCUCCUCCAACCCAGAGCUCCUCCAAGGCAGCUGCACCUCUGGGGGAGAGGCAGGAGCAGCUGGAGCAGAGGCAAAGCCAUAUGAGGUGAUGCCACAAGGUUUAUUUCAUGUUCCUGUUGAACGGGAGCCCGGAGCAGCCCCUUCCUCCCUUGAGGGGCAGCAGCUCCAAGCACCUGCGAGGCCUGGACAGCUCUGGGAAGGAUGAGAUGUCCCCAAGGAAUGGCCAAAGGAGGAUGUUUUUCAGGAGCUGGGACCGCUCUGCUGAAAAGGAUGAUAAAACCAGACGGUGUUGGGCACGCAGAGAUUUGGCCAAGGGUCUGUUUUUCUCCUGACGAAUACCGGGAUGCAGCUCUGCCCCUUCAGGGAGUGGGGUUUGGCAGGGAUGCAGUGAUGGGAUAUCUCACCCCCUCUCCCUGUGUCUCCAGAGGUCUCAUCCUUGCUGGAUCCUUCCCCUACUGCUCUGUGUUGACUCCAUGUGUAAAAGUCUUGGGAGAGGAGGCUAUCAAGCAGAGAUCUCCAAGAAGAAAGGAAAAUUGAAAGACUGAAGACUUGUUCCUCUCACUGCCUUGUGGAUGUAGGAUGACUCUGAUGUCUCCUGAUAGGGCUGAUGCUCAAUAGCCACAGCUAAGUGUUGAGCCAGCAGGAUGGGAUGGACAAACAAGAAGGACUGCCUGAGCCAGAGGCCUGUGGCCAAAUCCAUGACUUUUUCUGUCCCAGGGUGGAUGCAGAAGGUCCUGUGCCAACCCUGGAGCAAUCACAGAGGGGCUUGAGUUGGAAGGGACCUUAAAGCUCUUCCCAUUCCCUGCCCCUGUCAUGGACAGGGACACCUUCCACUGGACCAGGGCUGCCACAGUGCACACACCUGGAGCCCCUCCAGCCCUGUACCUGCCCUUUUCCAGCCUCUUUUCCCAGCACUUUGCCCUGUUCCCGCUGCUAUUUGGAAAAUCCAGUGUGGGCUCCCUUGGGACUGCUGGCAGUCGUUCUGCAGGGCUGUUAUCUGCGGAUCUUGAUUAAUGAGAGUCCCCAGGGCAGGCAGGUUAUGAAAGAAGCCCCAUGAUUGUGGCCCUGGCUGCCUUCCUGACGUCAGUGUGACGCAGGGCACGAAGGGCAGCACAGGCCCUUGGGUGCAACAAAAAAGAAAAGAAAGAAUGAAGGAGUGGAGUGAGAGGCAGUAAGAGAUGAAAGGAGAUUGUUUUAUCAGCUAGAGCUGGCAGCUGGAGUGAAUUUCCUCUCCCCAGCGCAGACUCUACAGUGUGGGUGAUGUUCCUCUGCAUCCAGCCCUUGCCGUGGGCUCUGGGGUGGCUGCAGGAGAAGGGGGCACUGGGCAGGUGCUGCACCACAUAUGGGGCUCUCCUUGCUCAGAUCUGAUGGCAUGUGGAUUUUAAAUCCUGCAGGGUUAGUGUUAUGCUGUGGACCUCUCAUCACAGCCUCCUGAUGUGCUCUGGUUGAGUUUUUACCCUCGGUGCUCACAGCCAUUGCUGAGCGCAGGUGACAUUGGGGACGAGGCCUCUGAGCAACACUGCCAAAGUCUCCAAGUAGGAUGGGUGGCAGCUGGAUUUGGGAUCAGCCCCUGCAUUAGGCAACACAGACAGGGAUUUCCAGGCAGGCUGGAUGCUUUUGGCAGGUUGGAGCUGGAGGCUACACUGCGGUCCUUGGCGUGUCCUUCCUUCUCCAGUGCCACAGCCCUUUGCAGCCACAGUGUCCACAGCAAGAAGGGUGGGCUGGUGCUCCCCCACCUUCAGCAAAAAAAGUUGCAUCUUUUAGAUCCCUCGGUGAUGUUGGGUUCUUUUGCUGCCCAUUUACUUGUGCCUCUUUUCAGAAUUUAAAAAAAAAUCUUGAAAAAAUUAAAAAACUCACCAAUUUUC